rnacentral:rRNA from 1 species
UACGGGGGGGGCAAGCGUUGUUCGGAAUUACUGGGCGUAAAGGGCUCGUAGGCGGCCAACUAAGUCAGACGUGAAAUCCCCGGGCUCAACCUGGGAACUGCAUUUGUGACUGCAUCGCUGGAGUACGGCAGAGGGGGAUGGAAUUCCGCGUGUAGCAGUGAAAUGCGUAGAUAUGCGGAGGAACACCGAUGGCGAAGGCAAUCCCCUGGGCCUGUACUGACGCUCAUGCACGAAAGCGUGGGGAGCAAACAGG